UAGGGAAUCUUCGGCAAUGGACGGAAGUCUGACCGAGCAACGCCGCGUGAGUGAAGAAGGUUUUCGGAUCGUAAAGCUCUGUUGUUAGAGAAGAACGUUGGUAGGAGUGGAAAAUCUACCAAGUGACGGUAACUAACCAGAAAGGGACGGCUAACUACGUGCCAGCAGCCGCGGUAAUACGUAGGUCCCGAGCGUUGUCCGGAUUUAUUGGGCGUAAAGCGAGCGCAGGCGGUUCUUUAAGUCUGAAGUUAAAGGCAGUGGCUUAACCAUUGUACGCUUUGGAAACUGGAGGACUUGAGUGCAGAAGGGGAGAGUGGAAUUCCAUGUGUAGCGGUGAAAUGCGUAGAUAUAUGGAGGAACGCCGGUGGCGAAAGCGGCUCUCUGGUCUGUAACAAACGAUGAGGCUCGAAAACGUGGGGAGCAAACAGG
rnacentral:rRNA from 1 species